rnacentral:rRNA from 1 species
AGGGUUCGAUCAUGGCUCAGGAUGAACGCUAGCUACAGGCUUAACACAUGCAAGUCGAGGGGCAGCAUUUCAGUUUGCUUGCAAACUGGAGAUGGCGACCGGCGCACGGGUGAGUAACACGUAUCCAACCUGCCCUUUACUCGGGGAUAGCCUUUCGAAAGGAAGAUUAAUACCCGAUAGCAUAAUGAUUCCGCAUGGUUUCAUUAUUAAAGGAUUCCGGUAAAGGAUGGGGAUGCGUUCCAUUAGGUUGUUGGUGAGGUAACGGCUCACCAAGCCUUCGAUGGAUAGGGGUUCUGAGAGGAAGGUCCCCCACAUUGGAACUGAGACACGGUCCAA